rnacentral:rRNA from 1 species
ACGGCGAGUGAGCGGUAACAGCUCAAAUUUGAAAUCUGGGUCUUUCAGGCUCCGAGUUGUAAUUUGUAGAAGAUGCUUCGGGUGCGGCUCCGGUCUAAGUUCCUUGGAACAGGACGUCAUAGAGGGUGAGAAUCCCGUAUGUGAUCGGUUGCUUGCGCCCAUGUGAAGCUCUUUCGACGAGUCGAGUUGUUUGGGAAUGCAGCUCAAAAUGGGUGGUAAAUUUCAUCUAAAGCUAAAUAUUGGCCAGAGACCGAUAGCGCACAAGUAGAGUGAUCGAAAGAUGAAAAGCACUUUGGAAAGAGAGUUAAACAGUACGUGAAAUUGUUGAAAGGGAAGCGCUUGCAACCAGACUUGCGCGUUGCCGAUCAUCCGGGGUUCUCCCCGGUGCACUCGGCCUCGCUCAGGCCAGCAUCGGUUUUGGUGGUGGGAUAAAGGCCUUGGGAAUGUAGCUCCUUUCGGGGAGUGUUAUAGCCCUCGGUGCAAUGCCGCCUACCGGGACCGAGGACCGCGCUUCGGCUAGGAUGCUGGCGUAAUGGUUGUAAGCGAC